rfam:Heligmosomoides polygyrus genome assembly, scaffold: HPBE_scaffold0001326
GCGCCGGUGGUGGAAGGCGUAGCAUCGCUGCCCGGAAAGCAAAAGGUGUGGGUUCGAGUCCCGCCCGGCGCA